GGAGUGGGCUCAGGGUUUGGACACGAUGGACCGAGAGAGAGAGAGAGAGAGAAGUGGGACUCUGGGAUAACUUUCACAGGUCAGCUGGGGCCGGUGGUUGGAUUAGUAUGUUGAGCAUGAAGAAAAGGAAAGUGAGUCAUUCCAUGUGAUGGAUGGAAAAUAGAUGACCAGUCAAAGGCUUAAAUAUAUUUCAGCACAUUUCCUGCUUUUCAUUUUCAAUUCAGCAGAAAUCUUAAGCUGUUCCUUCUGUUGUCUUCUGUCUCUUCUAAGAAAUCAUUGACGGCGACCAAAGCCCUUCAAACUAAGUCUAUACUUUUUUCUCCCACCAAAAACGUCCUUUAAAGCCGUCCCUGCUGCUGUGGCUGGAGAUAAGAGACAAGACAGAACCUUUUGAAUAAUAACUCUGAGGGACUUUCACUCUCACUCUGUGUGUGUACCUAUGAGUUGGAUAAGUGUGUAUACAGUCAGUGGAGCUCUGUGUGCAGCAGACAAAAUAACCAACAGUAUUUCUACCUUAUUAUUGUUCCUGUAAGUACAAUAUACAAAUAUUUGCAACGUACUUGGUUAUUUAAAUGUUGUGCAAAAGGUCCAGUACAUUUUAAAAGAAGGUACAUACGACUAGGGCUGGGCGAUAUGGCCUCAAAUCAAUAUCACGGUAUAUUGAUCAGUUUAUCUCAAUAACGAUAAAUGGACAAUAACUUCUCCACAAGCUGCUCACCCCCUACCACAUUAACUUCGUCUACUUUAGCCGCUACAACUUUUGAACCGUCCUCCAUCUCCUCACCUUCCCUCUUUGUUUCAAUAUCGCUGGUUUCUCGUGGGUCAACUCGCUGCGCCGUGCGUCCCGUGCAUUGACUGUAUGGUCCCAUGUGUUAGCAAUUAGCAUCGCCGUAGCUACAUGGUUUAGAGCUGCAGCGCUGCGCAAGGUUGUAUCUCAGCCAAUCGGUGGAGAUUACCCGCAUCAACCCCUCGUCUGAGAGCCUCACAUUGGCAGAAUGAAUCGACUACAGUCAAACAUGAACCGCCUACAAUAACCGCCGAACUUAUUCAAUGUCUCACAGUGAAAUAUGCAAGAUCUCCAUUUGCUGCAGCGAAUCGCAUCCGGUAGGCGCUUAAUGCUUGCGUAUUUGAGCCACCUGCCGGUCCGUAGUGGAGCCGUUCUGGGUCCUGUGGAAUCCCGGGGCUAGAGGGUCUGCCGCUGGUGUCAUGGCGGUUCUUCUGCUCCUUUUUGGCGUAUUUAACACAUCAUAGUAAAGGAUUUGAAGCCGAUGACGUAAAAUAACUGAAUAUUUACAAGACGACCUCAAACACAGUUCCAACUAAAGGAAAUUGCCGCUCUUAAACUUGACCUGUCAAGACAGAUUCUAGCGUUUUCGAUGUAAACUUGACAGUCUUUGUCUGAACAAUUUCAAUGAUUUUCAAAAUACUUGUUUUUGUUAUCUUUAAGCAGCCACAGAAUAGUAGAGGUCACUUUUCUUGUAUAGAGAGAUGGAGAGCUGCAGCUCGACACAACAAAAGAAAAACUCUUCCACAUCAUGUAACAAAAAAAAAACGCUUUGAGAAAUGAAACCCAAAGAAAUCCAGCUUUGAUGCACCAAAUCUAAUCUGCCUUUAUUCAAAAGCUGCAGUCUGUGUCACAAAGGAAUAAAAAAAAUAUUGUUCAGACCCAAAGAUUGGUGAACAUCCCUCUUGUCUGUUAUUCAGAGCACCUCAAGAAGUCACUGUUAUUUGUUGAGGAGCCAUUUGUGUGGGCUGAGAUGGCUCUGCUCCCCGUGUCCACGCAGGCAGACAUACACUUUACUUAAAUCCUGAUUAGUGGAGUGUUCUCUAAGCACAAUAGCAUGGUGGGAAAAUAAAUGCCGUCCACCAUGCUCUUCAUGCUUCUAAAUUAGAAUUAUUUCAAAUUACAUCCCCGGCCUUUUUUCCCCGUACGUGGUGAGAUUGCAGGCUGCCCUCUUUGACUGGUAAUUUCCUCGUAUUCUUACCCCAGCGCAGAGUGGCUUUUCUAGAGGGAGUGAUUGUUUUUCAGCACAUGCAAUCAGUUUGUGGUUCUGUGUGUGUGUGUGUAUCGUGUGUGUCUUCAUUUAUCACCUACAAUCAUCCUAAUCAAGUCAUAGCAAAGCAGCUCAGGACCUGGGCUGCUCUGAAAGUCAUCCUGAUUACUGUGAGUGUCUUUUAUUUAACACGUGACACAUGACUCACACAUAAAGACAGGUUACGAUCACACACAUUCAUCUCUUUUGUUCGCACUCACACUCACACACACUCCUACAUGCCUCUGCUCAUGUCCCUGCACUUCCAUUCUAACUUAGAUAUUGUACUUUCCUAGAAACCCAAUAAGAUGCCAUCACCUCCACGAAUAUGCAACUGCGCAAAAACAAACUUUCAGCUGUUGAAAAUGAAAGUUAUUGUCUAUUUUGCUGUGGUCUUUAUCCUCAUGUUUUCCAUGUGUCCACAGGCUCUAAACUAGUGCUGGACUAUGAAUCGGAAUUUUAAUCACGUUUUUUGGGGCGGCAGUAGCUUAGGAGGUAGAGCGGUCGUCCGAUAACGGGAAGGUUGAUGGUUCGAUUCCCCUCUAUCCCGAGUCUGUCCGGUGUGUCCUCGGGCAAGACACUUAACCCACCUUGCUCCCAGUGUGUGUCCUCCACUGGUGUAAGAUUGUGGGUGUUGUGUAGUGGUGGUCGCAGAGACAGUAGACGCAAAACUGGCAGCCACGUUUCUGUCAGUCCGCCCUAGGACAGCGUGACCAGUAAGAUAGUUUACAACUACCAAGGUGUGACUGUGUGAGCGAAUGAAUGUUGGAUCGAGUGUAAAGCGUUUUGAGGGUCUCUGAUAAAGCGCUGUAUACAAUCAGAUGCAUUAUUAUUAUAAGUAGUAUUUGAUUUUGGCUUCCCACAAUCAUAAAAACAUUAUAAACUGAGAAAAAUGAUUAAUUAAUGCUCUGCACGGCGCGGCGUGUACGUAAGUUCCGUGCAGCUGCAGCAAGUGUGUUACCUGUGUGGAUCAAUAAUAUGAGGAGCGAGCGAUUGAAAACACAGCAGAAAGGCAGCGUUUUGUUGAGAAAAAAGGUAGGACAACUUUAGUAAUCUGGAAGCAUUUUGGCUUCAAUUUCAAACAUCGAGCAAAAGGAAAUUGUUUGCAAAGUUUUUCACGUUGUCGUCAACACGACCAACUUAGGGUUUUCCCUUAUGUGCAAUUGACUGUGGCGCACCGUCAUUGCUAAAUAUCAGCUGGAACGCCUUAAGAAUGUGUUUCUUAUUUUUAAAUUUACGUAGCUGCAACUCAGACUUGUGUAUCAAUAUAUGUGCGCGCACUUGGGUGCUGCACCCCAGAGCAGGCGCGCGCCAAUUAUUAGCACUCGCAAGUUAUUGUCGGUGAUCGCGGUGAUCACACAACUUUCACAAGUUUAUUUCUGGCUGUUCUUAUAAGUUAUAUUUAAAGUUGAGUUUUGAGUUGUUGGUUCAAUAAAAACUGAAUAACCGUGUUUAUCAAUUGUGAUUUCAAUAUCAAUCAAAAUAAUCAUGAUAAUUAUUUUUGCCAUAAUCAUACAGCCCUACUUUCCCAGAAACCCAACAAGGUGCCAAUACCUCCACAAAUCUGAAACUGUGAAAAAACCAAAUAUCUUAGCAGUUUAAAUUGAAAGUUAUUGUCUUUUUUGUUGUCGUCUUUAUCCUCAUGUUUUCCGUACGUCCACAGGCUCUAAACUCAUUCAGAGUUUAUCUAGUUAAGAUGCAUCAGACGGUUUCAAUUUGUUUGUUAUUUCUGCAAUUUCUAUACAUCCCCUGUGGUAUCCGACUCAUACAGGUUAAACAGAGGACAUGUGAAUAUCAGAUUAGUGGCAUAUAGAGACACUCUCAACACAUGCACACACAGUCACAGACAAACCUUAACACACACACACACAGCCUAGACUUAAAAUUCUCCAAGGCGGGGGAUGUGUCAUUUCUCAUAUGUGUGAGUGACUAGAGGGUGUGAAGGGGAUAGAAACAUGUUGGAUGAAGAACAGAGGGAAGGAGUGAAGAAGAGGAGUGACAGGCUGUAGUUGUUUGGCCCUAAGAAACGGAGAGAAGGAGAGAGAGAGAGAGAGAGUGGGAGGAUGGAGUCAGGAGGUUCUAAGUUGAAGCUAAUUAAGGUCCUCUAAUAAAAAAAAGGGCCUGGACAGAGUGCGAAGGAAGAUGUUAUUAAAUCAUAGCCAGUGGUAAGGAGGAGCAUAAAAACAUUAGUGCGCACAUUCAAAGUACCGCCCUGGGCCUAUUGGCUCGACUUAGAUUUAAAAAGUAACUAAUAUGAAAAAUUAAUUAAGGCUCUCUUCCAAUCAGUGAAGGGGGGUAUCUCUCCGUCUUCUUAGGAGAGGAAACCGUGAGCAAACCUCCAGGUGACCCGACUCACAAGCUAAGAACACCCACAUAUAACAGGUGAGGGUUCCUGAUAAUGAAAUACGUACGACCUGUCAGAACAGGCAGAACAAGUGUUAAGAGCGCCGUCCUUCGGUAAGAAAUGUCAGGAGGCACUGUGCUCAAAAAAGGAAAAAAGGAUCGUAAGGACACUGUUUUUGUAUAGUAUAGAGUUUAUGUGCCUCGUUGAACAAAGAAAACAACACUGGGUGUUUAAAAGCGAGUCGUUCUCAAUAAAAAAUUGACUUAUAGAAUUUAAAGGUGAGGAAACACUCAGACAACAGAAGCAUAACUCAUGUAACAUGACCAAACACAGGGUAACAGAGUCUGGGGGUAAAUGUAGGGGUGUCCCAGUACACUUUUUUUUUCUUACCUCCGAUACGAUACUGAUAUUGUAGCCUUCAGUAUCGGCUGAUACCGAUAUUGAUCCGAUAUUGGCACAAACUUGUGCAUGACAAGUUUUGCACUUAGCUGCAACGUCUUUCGGAGUUUAAUGAAAAAUACUGCCAUAUGGCCGUUUCACUCUGCUAGCUAGAGGUGCCAGAGCGGAGUCUGAAACGGACUGCUUGUAUCGGAGUGCUGAUAUCGGAGAUUGAGGAUGCAGGGGAUAUAAUCCGAUAUUCAUUUUUUUGCUGAUACCAGACCGAUAUCCCAUAUUAAUAUCCCUAUAAUGCCUGAAACCACAAACAGCGGCUAGAAAAUUCAAAUCUUUUUGGAGCUGAAAUGUUUAUUUUACCAACUACUGAAAACCAAAAAAAUCUAAAAGUCCUUAAAAUGUUUGUUGUCUGAUACAUUAGAUGUUUUUGGAAACCAAUAAACCACAAGAAGACAGUUUUACCAUUUAUCGGACUGUAUUCAGGUGUUUUUUUAGUCAUUUGUUGGUUUGUUGACCGUGUUGAUCCCUGAUUUGAUAGAAGUAUCAUAAAAGUAUCAAAUAUGAUACAAAAGGAAUUAAAGAGACACCCCUAGACACCCUUAAAUGUCAAUUGGGCUAAUGUUAGCAGAGCUACCACCACCAGCCUUCAGUCCUUUAUGUACGUUAAGUGGAUAUAUUUCUGUUGAAGCAGUUUUAUGACGGAAUUACACGUUUUAAAACUGUAAUGUUUUAGAAAAAUGAAAUCCACGUUUGUUUUUUCAUUUUUAAAAGGAAGCAGGCUUAAAAUUCAUCCUUCAGGGGGAGCUCGAAGUGUUUGGCCUCACUUAUGGGCAGCUGCUCUGACCUCCAUUCUUUAUACAGUCCUCUUUUAUUUUUGGCGAACAGCGCCGUGUCGGCAUUUCACAGCGAGUAAAACUGAAAGCGAGAAAAUAGCAAUCUCUGCGCGUCUAACAAUGCCCAGGGUUGUAAUUGAUUGAAGAAACGCUUUAUCCCCUCUGACAAAUACAAGUUUUUCUUUUACCUCUAGACUCAGUGAAGGUGAAAUACAUUGGACAAAAGUGUUGAAUUCAUGGUAAACAGAAAAAAAACAAGCUUGAACGUGGAGAAACAGAAAUGAUUAGGUGAAAGUCAAAUUGGACAGAGCAUAUUUAAUUAUUAAACACAUGAGCGGUUCAUAAUUUAUUUAUUGUUUUACGGGGGAAGAGCUGAAAGUAAAGGAAAAUUACUGCUUUGAAAAUCAUAUGACCUACAUUUGCAUUUACUGCAUGUGUUGGUAACCGUUACAAAAACACUGUUUUACAUUUUAACCUUGAGAAAUUCUCCUUAUACGGUUCACGAAUCUAAACAACUUCCCCGGUUUGACGCUGUUUCUGCAAAGUCUUAAAAUCCUUUAUUUGGAAAUGAUAACUCAGGCAAAUAAAAUAUUUUUCUGCCCUCUUGUUUGAGACACAAACAUAAAAGCCUGUGAGUCAAUAGGUGUCAAAGUCUCCUAUCAGAGUGGAAGCAGCAGACGUGGGAUCCAUAAGUGCCAACCAUUAGGGGAACAAAAGAACAGCGUGGGAGGGAAUAAUAGCUUUCUAUUCUGCGGGAAAGAAGAGAAAAAAGAAGGGAGCGUUUCCUUCCCCUCUCUCUCAUCUCUGGGUCUUAGGGCCACAGAGGGCGAUGAUCCAAAAAGCUGCUCUGGUAUGCCAGAAUAAGCCGUGCCACUUGGAUCUGUCGCUCUAACCGAGGAGAGGACUCACGGAGGGGGAGGUAGACUGAAGACGGAGUGAGCGGAGAGUGAGGGGCCAAAGGGGAGAAAGAGCAAUAAAGACAGGCCUCACACUCAUCAAAAACCACACGGCUUCUGACCUGCCAGCCUGCACACAACAUCAUGCACACUGAUUACUUGUUGAUGAUUUUCUCUCAGUAGGUGCUCAGGGUGUUAUCCUCGGCUGUAUGAAAAGGAAAAGCUCUCACAUCUGCAUUAGUGUUUCCCGUCUCCUCGUUCUCGGUGAAACACAUUCAGAGACCUUUUCUUUCUUUCUUUUACUCAUUUUGUGCAUCUCGCCACUGGCGUGCUAACUGAAUUAUCCAAGCAUAGCUGCAAGGCAUGCUUUGGUGUUUUAAGAGAUGGUAUUAAAACAGCUCUGCUUUGUGAAAUCUAAUAUUACACUUGAAUGUGAAAUACCGGAUAGAUCUCAAGUCACGUUGAAGCAAAUUUCACAUCUAGAUGGACAGUGAUUGAGACGUGAUGGACGGAUAUGUUCUCCUGUUUGUUAGUAUUCCAACUCUGCUGUGACUGUUUCUAUGAAAUAUAUUUUCUGUUUCACACAUGCUCCGCACACCUUAACAUGCCAGGACACCACUCAGAGGAGCUGUACGCCAGCAUGUAAACGUCUCAAAUUGAAGCAGACAUGAAAUAGACUUCGCUCUGCCGUCUCUUCUUGUAUUGCGUCAUUUCUGAUAUCAACACAAACUGAUGUCAGUUAGUCCUGAACAAGACUAUUUCCUUUAAAGAGUGAAAGGACCUGUGAUUCCAAGGUUACCAAAUACUGUAGUUUGCCCAGUGCUCGUAAACUGAGACAGUAGUCCAGUUGAAUCACCUAAUUGAGCUUGACUGUACAUUAGGGCUGGGCAAAAUGGCUGCAAGUCAAUAUCACAACAGUGUCUUAAAGGGACAUGAGUCCAUAGCCUACCUACACACAUCCAAAACCAACUUUAGUGUAUCAAUUAUUUGACACCAAAUAUUUUGACAUGUGCAAAAUUACGUUGGUUAUUGUAAUACAUUUUGUUAUCAGAAAAUAUUCAGUUUAUCGCCCAGCCCUACCUGUAUGUUUUCUAUUGGUCCUGACCUGUGCCCCAUCGACUGGAAACCCAGACUGGGAAAUUUUAUGACCUGAGGGUUCCCAGUUUGUCAAAAUGUACAAAAACACAAAGGACAGGAUCAUACCAAACAGAAAUCUGCGUCUAAGUAUCUGAAAUAAAAAUGAUUAAAACCAAAAAAUUAAGAAUAUUUUCCAAUCAAAGUCAGCCAUAACAGAUUUAUUUAUAAUACAAAAACAGUUAGAUAUGGUAGGGCUUGGCGAUAUGGCCUCAAAUCAAUAUCACGAUAUAUCGAGCAGUACACCUCCUUUAAAUUUUUAGGUGUAUCGCCCAGCCCUAAGAUAGGGUUUUAUAUGUUAGUGCUCCCCUGUGGUCACAUAAAGCUUGUUUACAUGGACUUGAGUAUCCCGGUUAGGACUGGAUUUAAAGGUAUCCUGUUUUGUAUUUGUGCAUAUAGAUACUGUAUUCCAGAAACUGUUCUAGCCAGUAUUCCAGUCUUGAGAAACCUGGUUCUGUUACCUUGAUAACUCCCAAAGUAAAUGGAUUACCUUACCUUAUCCUGGUUUUCAGGCGUGGGCCAGUAGACAUAAGACAAGGAGCAAAACCUGGAUCAGCCUGUCGUGCUUUAUAAUCUAUAAGGGAUGCAAACUUUCCUGUGUUUCCGUAGCAACAGGCAACAAUAUUUCUGCAAACAGUGCACUUAAAAAAAAAAAAAAAAAACACACCAUCAAACAGGAGGACUAAACGUCUAAAUAACGUCUAACAGGAAAAAGAUAACAAAGACAGUGACUAUAUUAGAGUUUAUUAAUGCAGCACAGACCUGUAUGUUAAUGACGUUAAGCUUUUAGUCUGAAAUCAGAGACUUUAGUUUGCAUUUCGAUUCAAAGAGAAACUGAACAACCUCCACAUCAUGAAAACAGGCAUCAUGCAGAGAAGCAGUCUAAACAUUUAUGUCUGUCUUUAAUGGAACAUUAGUGCUUUUUUUUACUGCAAAGAGCUUAGCCUGUAGUAAUUAUUGUAUCACAAAUACGAUCAAAAAUCUAUAUAAGGUUUAUAAACCCAUAACUCAGGUCCUUGUAAAUGCAGGGGUUGACAGACCUUAUAAACAGCAGUUCAUAAUUUUAUAUCCUUUAAAAUCUGUGGUGACAAAAAGGAAAGACUUGUUAUAUCUCUCCCUCUUUCACCCCCGUAUAAUUGAGUCAAACAUCAUACAGAGAUACUUUGGGAAACUCUUCCCAAAGGGGGCUGCUGGGCUGUAUCUCUCUUUCAUUUAUACUCUCAUCUCUCCUGUGACUCUUCUCAUUAAGCAAUCUAACCACGUCGGGUUAUAACAAUGCUAAUAGGAGCUGAUGAUCAAUCCUAAUUGGUCUCUUCAGAGCGCCUGUCCGGUUUUUUUUUUCUGAGAGUGUGACCGUUCGCUGCUGCGCCCUGAUGAACUAUUCAUCUAGUAUCAGCGCUCACAAAGGUCACACCAGUUAUAUAUCACAGCAGCUCCCUCACAGAUACACACAUAAACACACUAUAAGUCAACAAAUAUACACUCAGACAUAUUAUGUUGUUAAGAUCACCGCAGAUGAAGCUCAUGGACAAAAACGCAAAUGAGAGUGUUUCACAUCCCCCCACAUUUUAACACCAGUUAUCCUGAUGAUGCUGAAGACUAAUAUUAUUCAGUGCUAAGUAUUAUUCGUAGUGAUGAUAACAGAGGGAGUUGUUGUACAAAAACAGAUAAAAAAACAGAGAGAAAAACAAACAUUUUAACCCUGGAGGAGCAGUCAAGCAUCUGUUAAACGCUCACUCUGACCAAAAGCUGUAGGGCUGGGCGAUAGAGUCUCAAAUUAAUAUCACAAUAUAUUGAGCAGUUCGCCUUGAUAACGAUAAAUAAAUGAUAGCUACUGUAUUUUUUCAUAGUUUGGCUGGGUUUGUGACUUAUACUCAGGUGCGUCUUCAUAUAUUAAAAUAUAUAAUUUCACAUGUUUGUUAUUUUCACACUAACAGCCACUAGAGGGCACUCUUGGCUGGUGUACCAGUAUCUGCUACUCCUGUACAACUGAUCAUUUAAAAAUUAGCGUUAACUCACAUAGACAUCUGAGAAAGAUCGAGCACAAAUGCCGCCCAAAAGAAAAUCAUAUUUUGACAAGCUGCAAGUAGUGAAAUGUACGUUAGCAUAUCGUAAACCUAUUCAGCCUGUUGUUCUCUAUUCUAUUGUUGUUAUUAUAACUUACGUUUCAUAAUAAAAUGUCUGUUUUCGGUCUUGGAUUUUGUCAAAUAAAUUUCCCCCAAAAAUGCGACUUAUACCGGCACAUGUUUUUUCUUCUUCAUUAUGCAUUUUUUGGCUGGUGCGACUUAUACUACGGAGAAAAUACGGUACCCCGCAAGCUGCUCACCCCCACCCACAUUAACCAAAACCAACUUUUAUUUCUUUAUUUGACACCGAAUAUACCGAUAUGGGCAGAAUGACGUUGAUUAUUGUCGUAAUUUUCUGUAUCGGUAAAUAUCGGUAAACCUUAAAGUCUCUGAAGUUACAAGGUGGGGCCUCCACAGACUAGACAUGGUUGUCCAGCCCUUCCCCUCGAUUUCACUAAGGAUAUUUGACACUGUGAAUACAGACACAUUCUCCUCUACUUAUGCAGUAAGAGGUCAACUUCUCAUUUGGUGUUUGCCCUGCCCACUUGCAUGCCAUUUUAAUAUUGUGUGAUUCAGAGAUGCCAAAAACAUGAAUGGAAUCAAGCUAUUCAACAUUAAAAAAUUAAUCAAAUUAAUGGUUCUUAACAUUUUUUGUCUUUAAUCUAUUUUUUUGACAACAAAUAAAUUCACAUAGACAAUAUGACGUUGGUUAUUGUCGUAAAUUUCAGUAUUGGUAAAUUUUCGGUUGAUCGCCCAGCCCUAUGAUCACGUAUUAGGCCUGAUAGUCUACGUCUCUCCUUACAAGAGCUCCUCGUAUUGAAACGUGACAUUUAGACAUUUAGUUUGAGUUUAGUUUUAAUUUUCGGUUUAUCGCCCAGCCCUAACCAGCUGUAGUAGUAAGGUUGUUUUCCUGUCAGUCUAGAACAUACAGAAACAGCACUGAGAAUAACAUGAACACCACAAGGUCACCCAACCACACGCUCGAUUAAAAAACAACAAAAAACGAAAACUCGUGAGCGUUCAGUGUGAUCAUCCAUGAGGAAAAAUACCAUCAAAGUUGAAACCUGCUGAUAUAGAGAGGGAACACAGUCACGUGUGUGUCUAGACUGUGUGUGUGAGAGAGAGUGUCAGCUGCUUUCCACACGCUGAGGGCGAAGCUGCUUGUUCAAGCCAACUCUUAGACUGUAGUUCAGUUUCCGCUCGGAUGGUUUGAAUAAGAAUUUGGUUUAAGGGAAGGCUGUUCCCAGAUCUAGGUUCACAACAGAGGAAAUCCUUGGUCUGUCUUAAAACCCCCUCAAAGCUCUAUCUCUCUCACACACACAAGACCGCAGCCUUUCCUCGGUUAAUGUAAUGCUCCAGCAGGAUGAGCGUCAGGCGCUGGGGGCAUGACCAGCAAACAGGCUGCAGGUUUUCUUCUGCUGCGAAGAAAGGAGAGCAGAGGAGAUUGGGGAAUAUUACUUGACACAGAAAGAAUGAAGGUUAGGGCGCUCUCGUGACACCGUUCCUCCUCCCGUCUCUGUCGCUCUCUGCCCUCUCUCUUUUUUUCUCUUACUAAUCCUCAUUUUAAUUUUCAUCAUCCUGGGUGUUCGAGCCACCUCUGUGACCUCUUUCUGUUUCCUGCUCCUUCAGUUUUCGUGCCGCCCUCCUCCUCCACCUCCCAUCUCUGUAUGUGCUGAACAUGUUAUCAUCAUUGUCUGUUUUCCACAGCGUCUCUCAGCAAAUUGACGCCCACUACUCCUGUUUGCUUUCUGUGUCUCUGGCCUUGUGUGUUCAGAAAUGUGAAAAAAGCAGAGAGGACUUCAAUGAGGAAGUCAGCCUAUUAACUGUGAAUACAAAAGCUAUGUGUGUGUGUGUGCGUGAGUGUAAUUUAAAGCCCAGAUAUAUCUGCGAAUACUACCAUACUGUGUUUUAACAACAGCUAUGUUAAAGAUGCACAAAACCAAAAAACUUGGGGGAGUCAAAGUAAGGAAAGAUGCAUAGAUGCUCUAUACUCAAAUACCUUAGAGGGUGGUGUAGUCAGGAUCUGAGUUAGUUCCGGUUUUUAGGAGAAAUCUUGCAUGUAAACUCUACCCCUCCCAACCAGUUUUCCCCUCAGCUCCUCCUCUCCCCUCAAGCCCCGCCCACAAACAGACGCUCCUGCUCGCUCGUAUCGUUCCAGUUAAAUUCAGAUAUAAUGCAGAUAAAUCCUUCAGAUCAUUACAAAUGGGGCCCAGUCAAGGUGAAAGUCAAAAGCAUUGGUGCUACUGUAGAUGCCAACAGACUACCAGCAAACACAAUGUUUGCAGGACUUCUACAACUAGGAUAAAGUGACAUAGUCCAGGACCCGAGGGAGGACAGUUUAGCGAUGGCGCUACAACACGCUACAGCAGGUCCGUUUGACGAGAAACACUUCUGUUACAGACACUUGUCUUACUUUGUUAAAGCGGUUUACCUGUCCAGCAGAAAGGUUACAGGGUCACCAAGAUCCCCAAGCGUCCCCCAUGGUUUAUGUUGACCCGGCUUUUUAGCUCUUGUCCGGUCUACCUCCGUUUUAAGCGCCCGUUAUUCCUCCAGAGUCUCCGGUAUUUACUUUGUUUUCUUGCUUGUGUCGGCAGUCGUGGCCAAAGGAGGAUUCAGACAAUUUUCCGAACUUUCUGGUUGGUUUCUACUGUCCGAUAUUGUAGCACGCUAACUUUGCUUGGGCUCCUGAACGACACGGGGGAGCAGCGUCUGCCUCACAACCAAUCAGGUUAGAGGAGGUGGAGAACGGCUUUGUUUACAGUCAGAAAGAGCGGACCGCUCAAAAAUGUUCAAAUGUUGACGACACAGACAUAAGAGAACACAGAGAUAUCGAUAUAUUACCAAAUGUCAUCAAUAACUAAUAACUAUUGACUGAUAUUAGAAGAUUUUUUGUAUGAAAACCACAAAAUAAAAAGAUGCUCCUUUAACAGAUUCCUGUCUACUUCACCUUUAAGUUGGUUUUCUUCUUGUGGACCAGACUUCUUUCCUUAGUCUAGAGAUCAGCUGGACUCUCUCAUAUGAACUCUGAGUUCUUGUUGCUGAUGUGGAUCUGUGUGAGUCUGAGUGUGUUUGUUUUUUGCUGCCAUUCUUGGUCAGGACCCCCCCUGAAAAAGAGAUUGAUGAUCUCAACAGGACUAGUCUGGUUACAUCAAAUCAAAAAGACACACAACCUGCCUCCUGUCUUUGUCCUCUACAGAAAACCUGAUCCAGCUGCAGGACUCACAUCUGGGACAUGUAAGACCACAUGGAUCCAUGACCCAGACGGAGCGGUAACAUGACAUCCAGCAGAAACAGACACAAUAAAGACAAACAGACGAGGUGAUUUCAGUGACUCAGUUUGAGGAUUUUUAUGAUUUUUUUACCCACAAUCAGAGACUUGACCACAAUCUGAGCUGAGUCAGAAACAUCCAAACAGUCGG